AGCGAACGCUGGCGGCAGGCCUAACACAUGCAAGUCGAACGAAGUCUUCGGACUUAGUGGCGGACGGGAGAGUAACACGUGGGAACGUGCCUUUAGGUUCGGAAUAACUCAGGGAAACUUGUGCUAAUACCGAAUGUGCCCUUCGGGGGAAAGAUUUAUCGCCUUUAGAGCGGCCCACGUCUGAUUAGCUAGUUGGUGGGGUAAUGGCCCACCAAGGCUACGAUCAGUAGCUGGUCUGAGAGGAUGACCAGCCACAUUGGGACUGAGACACGGCCCAAACUCCUACGGGAGGCAGCAGUGGGGAAUCUUGCGCAAUGGGCGAAAGCCUGACGCAGCCAUGCCGCGUGGAUGAUGAAGGUCUUAGGAUUGUAAAAUCCUUUCACCGGUGAAGAUAAUGACUGUAGCCGGAGAAGAAGCCCCGGCUAACUUCGUGCCAGCCGCCGCCGUAAAAC
rnacentral:rRNA from 1 species